rnacentral:rRNA from 1 species
CCUACGGGAGGCAGCAGUGGGGAAUUUUGGACAAUGGGCGAAAGCCUGAUCCAGCAAUGCCGCGUGAGUGAUGAAGGCCUUAGGGUUGUAAAGCUCUUUUACCCGGGAUGAUAAUGACAGUACCGGGAGAAUAAGCUCCGGCUAACUCCGUGCCAGCAGCCGCGGUAAUAAU